rnacentral:lncRNA from 1 species
UAUGAAAAUAACUUUUUUUCAACCUUCAUCAACACCCCAAACUUAGAAUUUUGCUUGUCCUCAAGCAAAACAAACAAAACAAUCACACAAAACAAAACUUGGCUUUAUAUUGUUUCAUCCAAUGCCUCAACAAUCCCAAGGUACAAGACAAAACCACUCAAUUCAAUAUCCUCAGUGAAAUCCAAAAUAAGAUGCAUGCAUGCUUUCAACCCAGAGAUUGCACAAUAGAUGUUAUAUACUAUGAAUGAUAAAUCCAUUAAGCAAAAAUGUACUCAUGAAAAUUAUCAAAUUAUACCAAGCAAGUGUUUCACUCAAUCACUCAAGUGUUUCAGGUGACACUCCAACUCUCAAUUAUUCACAAGUCUCAUAAAACAAAAUUGCCAUUCAUCUCAAACAAUCAACAUCUUCACAUGCAAAUGCCAUCAAAAGGACUUUUCCAAGGAUUGUAAUGAGGUUGGGCUAACAAGAAAGAAUUGGUUUUUCUAGAAUGCAAAAUACUUGAAUCAAGAGAGCUAACAAAAUAUUCAACAUUUAAGCACCACUNUCNCCAAUGUCUCUCAUUCCCAAUUUUUCCCUUUUCUUUUUCUUUUGCAUUGAGCUCUUCUUCAUGCUUUUCUUCUUUUCUUUUCUUUUUCUCAUGAAUUUUCUCUUUUCACAACAAUUGAGCUCAAUGCCUUUCAUUUGCUUUUUCAAUUUUCCCCCGUACAACCCCAAACUUGAACCUUUUCAUCACAUACAAGUUAGCUCAUCCCAACUCAAGGUAAAGAAUUUCAAAACAAGGGUUCACAUACUGUUUAAGGCUAAGGUUCAAAUAGGGCAUAUUAUUUUCAAACUAUUUGGGUGAAAAUUUGGCUAGAGAAGGGUUUUCAACAAUGGCCUUGAUCAUAUGACAUUUACAUGCAAUUCAAUCGAUCAUCAAGAUUAAGGCAAUAUCAUCAAUGUUUUCCUAUGAACACUACAUGCAACAACAAAAACUUUGGAGCUGGAAAUCUCACACACAUGCUUCCUCACACAAAAUUCAUUCAUACACCAUGCCUAGCAUCAUGACCACAAUCAUAAAUUCAUCACCCA